rnacentral:rRNA from 1 species
UACGUAGGUGGCAAGCGUUGUCCGGAUUUACUGGGCGUAAAGGGUGUGUAGGCGGUCCUCUAAGUUUGGUGUGAAAUCUCCCGGCUCAACUGGGAGGGUGCGCCGAAAACUGGAGGGCUAGAGUACUGGAUGGGAGAGUGGAAUUCCUGGUGUAGCGGUGAAAUGCGUAGAUAUCAGGAGGAACACCUGUGGUGUAGACGGCUCUCUGGACAGUAACUGACGCUGAGACACGAAAGCGUGGGUAGCAAACAGG